rnacentral:lncRNA from 1 species
CUUUAUUCUGUGUCUCUGUGUGUUGUGUGUUCUGUGUGUUCUCUGUGACAUCAGAAAUGGGCUAGAAAGGAGGAUUCUUUCAUGGGCUCCAUGACAUUAGGUCAUUCCCAUAUCUCAGUUUUCCUGCCUAAAAGUGGGACUUAUAAACCCUCCCUUGCUCAGAUGUUAGGAUGGGAGGAUUAAGAUUGCAAACAUUAUUGCUGUGCCUUUCAGCUAAAAGAUUAUGAGCAAUUUAAGGAUCAGAAUGGGGUCUGUAUAAUCUCUGUUGCAUCAUGCCUAACAUAAGCCCACAGCUGUAAAAUGGUCACACCAAGAGAUAAGCACCAAUCAAGCAAAGUUACAAAAAGGAGAGAUGCAAUUUGGAAUUCCUGAUACCUGGCUCUUCAUGGCUUCUCACACCACAGCCACAAAAAAAAGAAAGGGAAAAAAACCCACCCUCCAAAUGAAAACAGAAUUGAAGGGUGAAGAGACCCCAGCUGCCCAUGGGCAGACAGCUGCACCUCUAAUGCAGACCAUUGGACUUUCAUUAAAGAGAAAGACCCUUGCCCUGCUCUGUCUGCUCAUCCUUGUAUGUGUCUUCCUUCUGUCACUGCUCAGAUCCCAGCCUCCAUGUGUCCUUAAAUCAUGUUCCAGACCCCUUCCUCAUCUGGUAGCAGCCCCCUUCCUGCCUCCUUCCUUCCCCUGGAAUUCAUGGUUGACUUUGAGUAACAAAUUGAGGAAAGCUAAACUAUAGAUAAAACGGGACUACUGAAUAUCUGCAGGCUUGUCAGUAAUAGUGGCUCUUGGAGGUGAGGGAGGGUAUUGGCUGGAUGCCUACUGAGGACCCAGCACCAUUUUGGGCUCAGAAGCACUAUGCCAGUCAGGCCUUGGUCCUAGAGGCACCAUUUGCCCAAGUCCUU